rnacentral:rRNA from 1 species
AACGAACGCUGGCGGCAGGCUUAACACAUGCAAGUCGAACGCACCUUUCGGGGUGAGUGGCAGACGGGUGAGUAACGCGUGGGAAUCUACCCUUCUCUACGGGAUAGCUCCGGGAAACUGGAAUUAAUACCGUAUACGUCCUGAGGGAGAAAGAUUUAUCGGGGAAGGAUGAGCCCGCGUUGGAUUAGCUAGUUGGUGGGGUAAAGGCCUACCAAGGCGACGAUCCAUAGCUGGUCUAAGAGGAUGAUCAGCCACAUUGGGACUGAGACACGGCCCAAACUCCUACGGGAGGCAGCAGUGGGGAAUAUUGGACAAUGGGCGCAAGCCUGAUCCAGCCAUGCCGCGUGAGUGAUGAAGGCCCUAGGGUUGUAAAGCUCUUUCAGUGGGGACGAUAAUGACGGUACCCACAGAAGAAGCCCCGGCUAACUUCGUGCCAGCAGCCGCGGUAAUACGAAGGGGGCUAGCGUUGUUCGGAAUUACUGGGCGUAAAGCGCACGUAGGCGGAUAUUUAAGUCAGGGGUGAAAUCCCGGGGCUCAACCCCGGAACUGCCUUUGAUACUGGGUAUCUUGAGUUCGGAAGAGGUAAGUGGAAUUGCGGGUGUAGAGGUGAAAUUCGUAGAUAUUCGCAGGAACACCAGUGGCGAAGGCGGCUUACUGGUCCGAUACUGACGCUGAGGUGCGAAAGCGUGGGGAGCAAACAGG